rnacentral:rRNA from 1 species
AACGCGAAGAACCUUACCAGCGUUUGACAUGCCCGGACGAUUUCGGGAGACCGAUCUCUUCCCUUCGGGGACUGGAACACAGGUGCUGCAUGGCUGUCGUCAGCUCGUGUCGUGAGAUGUUGGGUUAAGUCCCGCAACGAGCGCAACCCUCGUCCUUAGUUGCCAUCAUUUAGUUGGGCACUCUAAGGAAACCGCCGGUGUUAAGCCGGAGGAAGGUGGGGAUGACGUCAAGUCCUCAUGGCCCUUACGCGCUGGGCUACACACGUGCUACAAUGGCGGUGACAGUGGGCAGCAAUCUCGCAAGGGUGAGCUAAUCUCCAAAAGCCGUCUCAGUUCGGAUUGUUCUCUGCAACUCGAGAGCAUGAAGUCGGAGUCGCUAGUAAUCGCAGAUCAGCAACGCUGCGGUGAAUACGUUCCCGGGCCUUGUACACACCG